GCCCUGGUGGCACAAUCGGUAAGCGCGCCGUACUUAUAGACAGUACCUUCCUUGUGGUAAUCACAAGUUAGAAGAUAUGCGGAGGUUGUGAGUUCGAGCCUCACUCAGGGCA
rnacentral:tRNA from 1 species